rnacentral:lncRNA from 1 species
GUGUAUAACUGUAAGUUCUUACGUUUUAAUGAUUGAAUUGUUUUAAAAGAUAUGAGGAAAAAUACAGUUUAAAUAAGACAAUAAGACAAUAAAGACAAUUCUAAAUGCUAAUAUUGUAUAGAAGUAAAUAACAGUAUAUUUGUGUACGUAAUAAGGUCAUGUUCAUCAAUAGAUAUUGAAUCAUAAAUUGAUAAAUUGGUGUUUAAUUCUUCUUUAUUUCUUCACGACCUUUAUCAUGUUUAUAUUCUGCUAACUUGACACCACUAUUUCU